rnacentral:rRNA from 1 species
AUUGAACGCUGGCGGCAGGCCUAACACAUGCAAGUCGAGCGGAUGAAGGGAGCUUGCUCCUGGAUUCAGCGGCGGACGGGUGAGUAAUGCCUAGGAAUCCGCCUGGUAGUGGGGGAUAACGUCCGGAAACGGGCGCUAAUACCGCAUACGUCCUGAGGGAGAAAGUGGGGGAUCCUCGGACCUCACGCUAUCAGAUGAGCCUAGGUCGGAUUAGCUAGUUGGUGGGGUAAAGGCCUACCAAGGCGACGAUCCGUAACUGGUCUGAGAGGAUGAUCAGUCACACUGGAACUGAGACACGGUCCAGACUCCUACGGGAGGCAGCAGUGGGGAAUAUUGGACAAUGGGCGAAAGCCUGAUCCAGCCAUGCCGCGUGUGUGAAGAAGGUCUUCGGAUUGUAAAGCACUUUAAGUUGGGAGGAAGGGCAGUAAGUUAAUACCUUGCUGUUUUGACGUUACCAACAGAAUAAGCACCGGCUAACUUCGUG